UGGGAAAGAGGAGCCUCAAGCUGACACUGU
rnacentral:piRNA from 1 species